rnacentral:lncRNA from 1 species
CCCGAGCUCUCCGCCGCGGGCCGAGACCAGAGAUCCGAGACCCUGCGCGGCCUCGGCUGGCCGGGCCGCUCGCCCGCUCGCCCGCUCGCCCGCGCGGCGUUCCCCAGCGACGACAGCUCCCGGCCGAUAGGCGAGCCCGGGGCUCUGGCCUCGCUGCUGGGCCGCACGGAGGGCGGCGAGCGCGGCCGGGGAUCGCGGCCCCAGACAGGAGCCGCUCGGGUGACCCGUGGCUGGGGGUAGCGGCUGCAACGGUGAAGGGCGGCUGGGAUGGUCUCGGUGAGGUGGUGGCGGCGGCCUCGGGUUGGUGGCGGACCGCGUUCACUCCCUUGCACGGCGGCCCCGGGAUCCGGCCCUAACGACCUGGCAAGGCAGCUCAUCUCGCAGUGAGGUCCCGAGGGACCGAGCCUUUCCACUUGGCUUUUUCGCUUUGGCCGUCUAAUAAGUGAAUGCCGUGAGUGGGCAAAUAAAACGAGGACAGAACGCUGCCAUCCCCUGUGCGUGCCCUCUGGCUCGACGCUGGCCUGAAGCAGUUCUUGAGGCAGCGGAGUCCUGCUGCACAGAGAGGGGUGUUUCAGAUAUUUCUCAUGCCUCCAACUUUACUGCUUGCCUGUCCUUAAUCUCCACGGUGACUUUCUUACCUCACACCACUCCUCCCCUGCUUACCUACCGCCAAAAGACGAGUGCCCCGAGACUCUGCCACCAAAAGUGGGAUGGAGCGCAAGGUGAGGUCAAGGCCAGGCCUCACACCUCCCCAGAUGUCCACCCUUCCAGCCAGCACACCUUGAAGCCAAUUGUACUUUCCCACAGUUCACUUCUGGGAAUGGAAAUGCACCGCUAGUCACUAGGGUACAAUGCUCUUCGUGGGGCAGGGAAUGCAUAGUUAGACUGGAGAUAUGUCCCGACCGACUGGUUUUGUGUGUAGACUUGACACUAACCAGAGUCCUCAGAGAGGAAGGAGCCUCAGCUGAGGAAAAGCCUCCAUGAGAUCCUGCCGUAAGGCAUUUUCUCAAUUAGUGAUCAAUGAGGGAGACAUGGUGGGUGGUGCCAUCCCUGAGCUGGUGGUUCUGGAUUUUAUAAGAAAGCAGGCUGAACAAGCCAGGGGAAAGCAAGCCAGUAAGCAACACUCCUCCAUAGCCUCUGCAUCAGCUUCUAUUUCUGUGAUCCUGCUCUGUCUGAGUUUCUGUCCCGACUUCCUUCAGUGAUGAACAGCAAUGCCGAAGUGUAAGCCAAAUGAACUCUUUCCUCCAAACUUGCUUUUUGGUCAGUGUUUGGUUGCAGCAAUAGAAACCCAGAUUAAGACAAGAAAUAUGUGUCUCAUCCAACAGGCUGUCCCAUUUUUAAAACUUCAGCUACUGUGUGGGAUAGGAAAGGC